rnacentral:rRNA from 1 species
CAGUCGCCACGGGAAUACGGAGGGUGCAAGCGUUAAUCGGAAUUACUGGGCGUAAAGCGCACGCAGGCGGUUUGUUAAGUCAGAUGUGAAAUCCCCGGGCUCAACCUGGGAACUGCAUUUGAAACUGGCAAGCUAGAGUCUCGUAGAGGGGGGUAGAAUUCCAGGUGUAGCGGUGAAAUGCGUAGAGAUCUGGAGGAAUACCGGUGGCGAAGGCGGCCCCCUGGACAAAGACUGACGCUCAGGUGCGAAAGCGUGGGGAGCAAACAGGAUUAGAUACCCCAGUAGUCCCUGUCUCUUAUAC